CAUCAUUCUUUUCUACAGCAUCGCCUACAUCUUCAGCAGUUGGAGCUGCAACUUCUUCCUCACUGGUUGGUGACUUGGCCGUGCUAGUGGCUGCAAUGGCCUCAUUCUAGACAACUAGUUCAACACUCCUUGUUGGCAACGGUUCUUCAACGAUUGGAAUGGUUGCAUGUUCUCCUUCCAACCUCUACAGAAAAAUGGAUUCCAUUUCCUUUAAGACUAUGGCCGUAGUGCGGAUUGCUAUUGGCUCCUGCUGGAUGUGUUCAUCGCCACUGGCAUCAUGCACAUGGAUGGUUU
rnacentral:lncRNA from 1 species